UCUGUAUUAAUUUUAUUUGCAAAAGUUUAUUACACCAGAAUGCAAUUUAACUUAAAAGAUUGGCUUUACUAAGACGCUUUCCUGAGGCUCUCAGGAAAGAAGUUGUAACCUACAGAUCUUGACUAUUUUUGCACUUUUAAAUGUCUAGCGCUUAUUUUACAUCAAACACUUUCAAAAACAUGUUUUACAAACUACACUUCAGACAUAUUUCCAUAGAAGUGCCUACAUCAGUCAAUUAAAAGAAGGACCCCAUUGUUAAGCAUCAUUUAUGUGGGCAUUGUUAUGUGAAAGCUCAUGUGAUGGUAUUUGUUUUAGAAAUAGAAUGUUUUAGAAUGUGUUGGUUGUUUUUUGUUUUUGGUUGUGUUUUUUUUUUAGAAAAAUAGCAUGCUGCCUUCUGUUUUUUGAGAGAAGUAGCUGCCAGUGCACAGAAUGUUGCAAUCUUUUCAAGAAGCUAAAACCCGAUGCUCAGCAUGCCUAUCAGAAAUUUCUAAACGGGUGGCUGUUUUACCCCAGUACCCCAGCAACGGUGCUUGGGGUACAAGACCUUCACUUAUAAUUCAAACUUUAAAUUUCAUUUUUAAGUAAAGAACCACUUUUAAAAAAAGUUUCAAGUAUAGAAAGCUAGAAGAAUUAGCUGCCGUAAUGUAGUAAAGCUCAUUAAAAACCCCCAAGCUAAAAUGCUAAUAGAAAGGACACCUAUUUCUUUUUUGCUUUUAGUGUCUGUUGCUGUCUGAUGUUAUACUAGAACACAGGCCUGGGAGUUAACUCAGUGAUAUUGAGAAUGACAUGGUGAUUGACAUAUGCAAAGAAAAGAUGUGGUAGAGUUGCUUCAAGGAUUUUACUGUUCUUUGUUGUUUUUACCCCAUGCUUUUGGAUAAGUCUUUUAUUUAAUGUUUGCCCGUAUACGAUUGCUGUUGCAAAUCAACAUUUCUUCUUUGCAGGAAGUUCAUGCUGGUUUUAAAACAUUUCAAGCAACAGAAUUUAUUUUAUGAGCUAACAUGACCAAACAUGUAGUACAUAGGCAUAUGUUUUCCCAUCCUUGCUCUGGGGAUAUCUUCAUUUCCUAUUUUCUGUAUUUUUUUUCUCCUAUAUCUUGUUUUCUUUUGCCCUUUAGGAAAAAAAAAAAAAUGUCCUUAUCAGUAUAUCUCUUGCCUUCUUCCCUCUUUUUCUCUAAAUUGACCUUUCUGUCUUCCCCUCACUCAUCCCAGGGUAUAUCUGCCCAUGCCUCAAGACAAAGGGUUAUCUUGACCCUCAUAGUAUAACAGUGGUGUUAAUUUGUACCUUCCACCAUUUUUCCUGCCAGUAAAGAAAAGCUAAUCCAGUCUUCAUGGCUUACUGCAAAUGGGCACAGUUAGAAAUGAAUUACAUGUAAGACAAAUUUAUUUAACUUAGUUCUUCUUGAAAUUCAUAAAAAUACCUCAAGAAAACGGAAGUGUAACAACUAAGAUUCAAAUGACAAUGAUUUAAUAAGUAAAUGGAGUUGUGCUAACCCUGGGUGAAGGAUUAUCAUCUUCUCAUCUGAGAAUAAUACAGAGGAUAGUGAACAUGGUUCUCCAGGCAGUGAGACCUUCUGCAUACUGGGGGUCCUCCUAACCACAAAGAAUAUACAACAGUAGAGCAGUACGCAUCUUUUUUUUUCCCCUCUAUAAAAUUCACUCAGUUUCCGUAAAAGGGUACUUUUCAUUCAUUAUUUAUAUUAGAAUAAACAAACUGCAGGUGUAGUUCGAAGAAAACUUUUUUUCCUUAGGCGAUGUUUUUUCUGCUUUCCUUAAUCUUAGAUAUUUAUCCGGUGCUAGGCUGUGCCAUAUCGAGCAUGACUUUCAUCCUCUGGAUCUACAGACAUCAAGAGAGAUAGGAGGAUCCCCUUCCACGUCUGCAGCUUAUGGGGGUAGGUUUACUUUCUGUUUGUGUGUAUGGCAAAGGAGGAGGGCCUAUAGAGAGACCCUACAUUCCUGAUUACUGUUUAUUCAGAGCCAGUGAGGGGAUGACAUUUUUUCACCACAGUUCCAAUUUGCGUGCUGACGUUAAGUGAAAAAUAAAAUCAACUCUUCUUCCAGGAUAAAGGACCGAUAGCACAGAGGACAUUAGUGUUGCAUUUAGACUCAUAUAAAGUAGUUUUUAAUGAAAAAGCCUUACUGUAAAACAAACUUUUUCCUGGACACUAGUUUUCAGGGAGGAAGGAAGAAACAAGAAUGAGAAGACUAUUUCUGCAGAACAUCGAGAUAUUUCAUGAAUCACAUGCUCUUACUGAGGAAGAAGAGACAGCGAAAAGGAAGCAAUGAUGAAGAACUCAAGCAUGUGUUCCUUCAGACAUCUUUACAACUAAACAUCACUUAUUUAUCACUUCAUAAGGUUUGUGCUUUGGAUUGCAUGCCACUUCGAGAAAAUGGACAGUUAAUUAUUAGCACAUGUACUGAUUACUGAGAACAGCAAAAUUAAGGUAUACUUUUAAAAAG
rnacentral:lncRNA from 1 species